UGAAUCCGCGCGGGAGAGCUCCCAGCAGUCUCGCUGGGGCGCCGAAGGAGCAAGUCCCUCCCUUGAAUCUCUCAGGCCCAGAUACCGCGCGGGCGAG
rnacentral:ncRNA from 2 species